rnacentral:lncRNA from 10 species
AAAGCCCCAGGCUAAGGCAGAGCAGGGCAGAAGAGUCAGAGCAGGGCAGAGGGCAAAGAGACUACGGGAUGACCAGCUGCAGGGAGGAGCUACAGAGGAGAUACCCUCUCCUCUGAUAGCUGGAGAGACUGGACGACUGGCCGGCAGAGAGGAACCAUCCUCUCCAGGGCCUCCUCUUUGCGGAACUGAACACUUCAUGAGACGAUCUACCUAUAGAGAGGAACUACCCAGUGUGGGCUUCCUCUGAGCUGUUGUAACACUCAAUGAAGCUCCUCUUCAUCUUGUUUACCUUCCACUUGUCUGGCACUUCUUUAUUCCUGGACACAGGAAAGAACUCGGGCAAAGGCACCAUUGGCCACAGAGGUUUCCGGCCAGAAAAGCCACACCCCAAAGAGGUUUCUGGCCAGAAAAGCGACACCUCAAAGAUCCCGUAACAGCAGCAUAUCUCAAGGAGGUCCACAGAAUCCUUUCAGAGUUCAUGAAGUCUUCAUAGUAAUACUAACAUGGCUCAUAGGAGGAAGGGACUUGCUUUCCCUCAGAGGAGACUUUGGACUGUGGACUUUUGAGUUAAGGCUGAAAUGAGUUAAGACUUUGGGGGACUGUUGGGAAGGCAUGAUUGGUUUUGAAAUGUGAGGACAUGAGAUUUGGGAGGGAUCAGGGGUGGAAUGAUAUGGUUUGGCUCUGUCUCCACUCAAAUCUCAUCUCAAAUUGUAACUCCCACAAUUUCCCCGUGUUGUGGGAGGAACCCUGUGGGAGGUGAUUGAAUUACAUGGGCACGACUUUCCUGUGCUGUUCUGGUGAUAGUAAAUGAGUCUCAUGAGAUUUGAUAGUUUGAUAAGGGGAAACUUGUUUCAUUUGGCUCUCAUUCUCUCUCUUGCCUGCUCCAUGUAAGACGUGCCUUUUGCCUUCUUCCAUGAUUAUGAGGCCUCCCUAGCCACAUGGAAAUGAGUCAAAUUAAACAUCUUUCUUUUGUAAAGUACCUGGUCUUGGGUAUGUCUUUAUCAGCAGCAUGAAAACAAACUAAUAUAGAUACUGUCUCUAAAUAAAUAAAUAAU